rnacentral:tRNA from 2 species
GCGCACGUGGCGGAAUUGGUAGACGCGUUAGGUUGAGGGCCUAAUAACCAAAUUGGUUGUGGAAGUUCGAGUCUUCUCGUGCGCA